CCCACAUAAGCCAGUUCCUUAAAAUAAAUCUCUUUUCUCUCUCUUUCUGCAUCUCUAUCUCUGUGUUCUACUUCUCUGGGGAAUCCUGACUGAUACAGCUGCUUUAAAUUUUUCUCUCUGGACUUUUCUGAACUUCUUGAAUUUAUGGGUUCAUGUUUCUCAUGAUUUAGGGAAAUUUGUCAGCCAUUAUCUCUUCAAAUAUUGAAAUUUUUUAACCCAAGGACUCCAGUGGCAGCUAUGACAGUUUUUUCCCCUUCCUUUUCCUCUCUGUGCUUCAGGUUGGAUGAGUUCUAUCAAAUUGAUUUUGAUUUUUCUGAUCUUUUCUCCUGCACCCAGGAUGUUGCUAAGCCCAGGGAAAUAAUUUGACUUCAGAUAUUGUAUUUAUCAGCUGUGAACUUGGGGGCACUCCAGCUCUCAAUCUGUCACACCAGCCCACUUGGCCUUGGAAAAUUUUGCCGUUUUCUCUUUCUUCAGAACAGUCUCUCUCUGUCACAGGCUCGGUCCUUAAUCCAUCUGGACAGACAUUUGGAAAAAAUCCCGAGAAAGAAAAGCUGCUGAUUUCUGCUUACUUAAGAGAGACAGUUCCCUCGUUGGAUUUUAAAUUCUUCAGAGUUUACUCUUUAGAUUCCAUAGCUCGUUGAUGGCUUUAAAAUGUGAAUUUUUAGUUUAUCCCUUUAUACAUGACUGUUAUGGAAGGAAAAUGGUCUUCCAUGACCCUAAAUCGUACAGGUAUGGAAUUUGGACAUUUUAAGAUAGAAGUCACAUCUUGGGCUCUCCUGCUUACACCUCCAACGGCUUCUCUUCACACUUGAUAUCCACACUCCUUACCAUGGGCAUGAGCACCAUGACCUCAUGACCCUGGGGGGUCUGAUCCUGAUGACCAUUCUAUAUGGACUUAACAUACUCCCGUGGCUGUCCUCCAGGCAUGCUGGCUUCUCCCCUUUUCCUACUCUUCCUUAUCUCAGGAAGUUAUACUUGGUAUUCUGUCUGCUUGGAUUUCUCUUCUCCCUGAUACUUUCAUAGGCCUCUCCUUCUCAUGCUUCAGGCCACAGCUCAAACGUCACCUCCUAAGAGAGGCUUUUCCUGAACACAUUAUCAUGUAUACCUCCCAUUCCCCAGCUUCUCUGUUCUAUUUCCUUUAAAUUAUUUAUGAUGCUCUGGAGUAAUUUCAUUGAUUUGCACUUUCUUAUUUAUGUCCUAGCUUCUGUCAAGAUAACAUGUAUUUUGUGAGGUAGUGGUCUAAUCUGUCCUGCUCAGCAUUGCAUUCUUAGGCUCUAGAACAAUACCUAACACACAGAAAGUGUGCAAUAAUGGUUACUGAACAAAUAAAUGAAAUUCCCAGGAUACUUACAGGAGCUGUUAGUACACAGGGCUGUGGAAGGGCAUAUCCCAACCACACACACACAAAUAUGCACAAUCAUGCAGAAGGCAUCGUAGGUACUGAUCUCAGAAGUGCUGGUGGAGGGGGCAGGGCAGCUCACUAAUGUCCAAGCCUGAGUCCAAAGGUUCCCAGGAGAGCAGGAAGGACUUGGCACUGUGAGGGCACAGAGCAUGCCAAAGAGGUGUCCUGGCUCGUGGUUCUUCUAUUGUCUGGUGUCAUAAAGAUGAACAGGAACAUUAACAGACUUGGAAUGAAGGCCACAAUGCUGAAGCACAAGGCCAGCAAAGCAUUUUUCUUUGCUAUGACUUUGUCUUCCAAACUAUUUGCUUCCCGUGCCUGUGGAAGAGAAGACAGGCUGAUAUUUUCCUAAAAAGAGGUGAAACAGGACUGCAGCUACAAUGGAGCAAAUGAUCAUAAUGGAGCCCACCAGGAUGCUUGAGAUGCUGAAGCCCAAGGCCAGUCUGGAAUUUAUCUGUGCCUUCCUCUGAUUUCCAUGAAAGUUGGCUUCCUGGCUCCCCUGGUCUUUGGAGAUGGAAAGGAGAUGUGCCUUCAUGAUGUCUGCUCUGGGAGACCACUGGGGAUGGGACCAAAGCCAUGGCUGAGAGCUACAACCUUCUACCUUCAGUCCAUGAAGUCCUAGGAUGGAAGAGAUGCAGAGGGUGGGGACUUUAGGUGAGGCAUGGGACAGGAGGGUGGCAAAGGGUCAGAGAGUGGCCAGCCUUGAUAGAGAAAGCUAAGAGAUGGGACCUCUAGGGGAAGAAUCAGACCUGAAAUAGUGAUUUUUCCGAGUGUGGUUCCUUGACCAGCCGUGUCAACAUCACCCAGAAAUCUCUUAAAAAUGCAAAUCCUUGCCCACUCCCACACUUACUGAGUAUAAAAUCCUGGUGGUGCCCAGCAAUCUGUGUUUUGAUAGGCCCUCCAAGUAAUUCUUAUACAAACUAAAGACUGAGAACUCCCAGAUAAGAAGAAUGAAUGAGAAAGAGUGGAAGUUCCCAGGCCCUUCUAGGAGCUUCACUCAGACCUCUGGCCUUUGUGUUUAGGAUGUUCCUUUGUUCUGGAGGUAUGGAAGCUCCCCAGCUGGGUCCUGCAUGGGGUUUUAUAUCCAUAAACAGUGGGGAAAACAUAAUAAAAUAGUUUCACCUAACCCAAAGAAAGAUAUUAAGUUUUCAAAUCAAGUUGAAAGUACUUAGGAAUCACUUAUCGACAUGACACAUAAAUCUAAUAUAUUGUCAUCAAAAUCCUCAAUUCUAAGACAUGACAGAAUUUUACAAGCUGGCGAACUGAACAAACAAGGUUAUUUAUAUGGAGAGGGAAUUAAAUAAACUAUAGAUGAUUAAGAGAAAAUACAGGGAAUUUAAUAACAGUAGACAUUUAAAAUGAUUCGGAGGGGGAAAGAGGAAUGUAUAUAGGCUGAGCAAGCUAGGGAAAAUAAUAAGUAGAAAAGGAAAGCAACAUUUUAUGCAUAAACGAUGAUGGAACAAAUAAAAGUAAGCAAAUCAGUUACCAUACGGAAUAUGAAUUUCCUGAAUUCCCCUAAAAGUUAGAGAUUUUAGAUUAACAAAAUAAAAACACCAACAUUUAGCUAGAUGUUGCCUUUAGCAGUAUACCACUUAAAGAAAACAUUACCAACAACAGAAGAUUGAGGACGAGGCCACAAAGAGCAAUACAGGCACAUAACACAAACAGGGCAGAAUUUUCUAUGUACAAUGCACAAAAGAAGACGUGUCUGUCACAAAUAUUUAUGUAGUGAACUCUAAAUCAGCUACAUUGUGAGAACAAAAGCAACAAACAGAAGAAACUUUAAUAAAGCCACUAGCAAUAUAAGGACUUAAAUAUACCUCUUAGAAAAUUUGAAAAUGAAAUAGAAACAGAAUGUACAAAUAUGUAUGUAUAGGAUUUGAAUAAUUUAACUAGUAAGUACAAUUAGAGAGUUAUUUAGAAAGUUACACUCUAAAGUAGUUACUGCACCUUCUUUAGUUAUAGAAAUAUUUAUAAAGAAAUAUUUAUAAAAUUCAUCAAGAACCUGGCUACAAAUAGAAAUUUAAAAAUGUAGAGUUCCUUAAACAAUACCAAAAAAUCGGAAGUAAACAAAAAGGAGACUUGGAAAAAUUUCUGUUUGUAAACUAAGAGAUAGUCUCAUAAAUUACAGCCAUACCUCAGAGAUAUUGCAGGUUGGGUUCCAGACCACAACAAUAGUCAAUAUCACAAUAAAGCAAGUCAAAUGAA